AGCCCUCCCAUUGGCUGCCUGCUCCUUGUUUACCGGGAGCUCGGCCAAUCAGCCAGGCCCGGCGGCGCGUGGACACGGUGUGCUGCUGCGGGGGGAGCGGUGGUGGGGCGAGUGCGCCGCCCGCGGGGGCGGGGGAAGCCGGCCCGGGAGGCGCGCCCCGGAGCCGCGCGGCCCUCGGGGCGCUGUUCCUGUUUCUCCAGGGUAUCCAGGCCAAGUUGCCCACACUGGCUUUAACCUUGUGAUUCAGCUGUCUCAGCCCCCCAAGUAAUUGGGACUACAGUUCACAGGGGUGAAGCACCUGCUACUUUUGCCCAUCAUCAAACCCCACGGGGGAAAGAACUACUACCCAUUUUCUUCAUCCCAGCUCCACAAGCUGAUCCAGGAGCAGAAAGACAUGAGCUUGUGGGGGACUAUGUAGCUGGAAUGGACUUGGCCCUGGGGACAUGACACUGACUUGAUGACAUCUAGUGGGAAGUCCUGAAGGUUCUUCUGCCAGAUGCCACACAUCACAUCCCAACUGCCCUGCUUUCUCUGCCACUCCUCAAGGCUCAGACUCUGAAGUGAGGCUGUCAGCUCCCAGACAAAGUCAGACUGUGGCUGAGAUUACUGGAAGUGGCUGUGAUGCCCAUCAGCAGAUGAUUGAGACGGGCUUCCUGGAACUGCCACUAACCUCCUGUAGACCAGGCUCCAUGUCCCAGCAGGUCCCAGCCCAGGCCCAACCUACAGCCAUAACCAUGGAAGGCAGAAGAGAAUGAAGAGGAUUACAGACAUCUGUGAAAGAAUAAGCUUUGCUUCAUGAUUUCUGUUCCUCACUUAAAAAAAAAUGCUGGACUAUGAAGACUAAACUGGUAACUUGAAAAUCAACUACCUGGCAUAUAUUUUAAGACAAUUGUUCAAUAUAAGAAGCCUAAGUUUGGAAUAGACAGGGACUUGCUAAAUGGCUGAAGCUGAACCAGAACUUGUGAUCUUCCUGCCUCAGGCUCUCCAGUUGUUAGAAUUACAGGGCUUAAACCCAGCCUCGCACUUGCCAGGCAAGGCCUCCACACCGAGCAUCCGCAGCCCUCCUGACCUUUGGUGCGGAGAAAGGCUGAGAGCCGGCUCUCCUGUGUUACAAACUUACCGUAGGCGGAGAAAAGGCACUGUGGACCCAAACAGGCUGUGUCCUGCCUGUGACAAAGGGGAAUAACACGUACCAACCCUAAAACGUUGUUCUGAAGUUGGUAUAGCCGCCACCCCCACCGCACCCAUGACACCGCCUCGCUGCCACUCGCUGCGACUGGGGCAGGGUGGCUGUCCGGCGGGACGGUGGGGUGGAGCAGGAGCUCUGUGACUCCUCGGGAAGUGGGGCUCUUGGGCUCCCUGAAGACAGGAUUGCAGGAGUCUUGAGUGUUUGUGGAAAAAAGUGUGCACCGUUCAGUUACUCUUCCCCCUGAUUUCUGGCAUUUAAUCUAAGGCCAUAGGAAUGUAGAGAUUGCAUGAAUGAAAUAUUUUUAAUAUUUCAACACUGAUACGUUAAAAGUAAAACAACAAAAAGACCCCCCAUAAUCCUGCAUAUCUGUGGUCAUUGUUUUGUAUCAGGCCCUGCAGAUCUGUACACAUCACUGAUGAUUCAAUUUUUUAAUACUAUUUUUAUUCAUUAUCAAAUUAUUUUCUGGGUGUCAGUGACACUUUAAAAUUUUUCUGUUUGAACUGGAGCACAGAGAUAGUCACUUUGUGGUCAUCUGACAUUACACAUACAGAGCACAAUUUUUCAUAUCUCUGGUUGUAUACAUAGUGUAUUCUCACCAAUUCGGGUCUUCAUACCUCUACUUAUAAUAAUCAAGUUCUUGUUUUUAAUUUUUUUCCAAAUCUACAGGGAAGUUGGAAGUAUUAUAUGAUUAUGGCGCACCUUUGAUCCAUUGCCAACAUUUUGUCACAUUUGCUUCUUUUUCUCUCAGAGGGUUGACUGCAGUUCCUUCAGUUUGGCACAUUCCCGAAUAUUCUUUCUUCCCCCCACUCCCCUUCCUCUUGGAGCUCAGAUACAAUGCAUUUCUCUUAGUUUUCUGGAGUUAGAACUUUCUGGGUACCAAGAGCCUUAGGCUUAGGCUGAAGGACUUUCACUUAUUCAUUCACACCCAGGAUUGGACUCAGGGCCCUUAAGAGCCGCAUCCCCAGGCCUUUUUAUAUCUUUUUUAGACACAGGGUCUCACUGAGUUGCUUAGGGUUUCGCUUCAGUUGCUGAAGCUGCCUUUGAACUCUCCAUCCUCCUGCCUCGGCCUCCCGAGCCGCUAGUUUACAGCUGGGUCUAAAUUCACACCGCAGGAAACCAACAGCAGCAGUAACGACGAACUACAGGAGGCCCGGGGUCCCGGGCUGCCCCCAGGACAUCCCUUCUGUGCCCCGGGUAGUUUUAAGCACACACAACGGGGGAACCUUGCUUUUCCACGGAGGAGCUGGAGCUUUCUCUCCAGAGUUUUUCUCUCGGUGGUCUUGGAAGCUGGAUCUGGGUCCGCAGUGCUCUCCUGGCUCCAAGAGUCAAGAGAGGUUUCUCUCAAGGGCUUUACUACUUAAGAAGUGGCGGGGAAGCAGCCUCCAGGCCCAAGCCUCGCAGUUGGGGCCAAAUAGGAGGCGGCCCGAGGGCGUAAGCAGGAGCAUGAAUUUCCUUAGACUCAUAUAACCCUACUGGCUACCAGCCUCCCUGGUGGUCUAGUGGUUAGGAUUCGGCGCUCUCACCGCCGCGGCCCGGGUUCGAUUCCCGGUCAGGGAAGGAGCUGCUUUUUAUUUCCUUCCUCGGUUUCUUGUAGAAAUUUGAAUAUUAUUUCUUCUAAUCACUUCUCCCAUCUACCAGAAGCUUAAAUUUUGAAAAUGUACAAAAACGCAAAGGAAACCACAGCUUAUAAUUCUACCAACCUGAAACUGUGUUUAAUACCCAGUUUAGGAAACAGAAAACGAAGAAUUUGUGCUGUAUAGGUACUAUUUUUAUUACCUGCUAUUUUACAGUUAACAAUGUAUUUCUAACUUGCCAGUAGAAAUAAAUAUUCAGAAACAUAUUUAUCUAAGUUUUGAAAAGAUGAAGUGUUUACUAGGUUUGGAAUUCAAAUUUACACAAUAAACCUGACUUUCAAUCUA